rnacentral:rRNA from 1 species
UACAGAGGUCUCAAGCGUUGUUCGGAUUCAUUGGGCGUAAAGGGUGCGUAGGCGACGCGGUAAGUCGGGUGUGAAAUCUCGGGGCUUAACUCCGAAACUGCAUUCGAUACUACCGUGCUUGAGGACUGGAGAGGAGACUGGAAUUUACGGUGUAGCGGUGAAAUGCGUAGAUAUCGUAAGGAAGACCAGUGGCGAAGGCGGGUCUCUGGACAGUUCCUGACGCUGAGGCACGAAGGCCAGGGGAGCAAACGGG